rnacentral:lncRNA from 1 species
GAAACAGCAUUCUUGAACGAGUAUUUUCCUGCUUCUAUGUAUAUCCGUAAGAGGUAUGACAUUGUGAAUUUUAAACAGAAAGACGGAGAGACACUUGGAGAUGCAUAAAUAAGAUUCAAGAGAUGUUUAGUUGCAUGUCCUACACAUAAUCUGGACGAAACUGAACAAAUGCAGAAUUUUGUAAACGGGCUGAAGAUGAGAACUAAGCAAC